ensembl:lncRNA
AUGCGCGUGCGCACGAGUCGCAGCCGAGCAGCUGCGCACGCUUAUCCUAACGGGCGACCUCUGAAAACCCAAGUGUUUCGCUGCUAAGAAGCCGACCACAUGUCAAAAGUGUCGAGUCACCCCCGAGAGCAGCCCUUGACCCGGGAACGCCUGCGUCACGCUGGACUACACGCCGUGCGUUUUCCAGAGAGCCAAUUAGGAUCGAGAAGGUGUAAAGGGAUUUCCACCAGGCUGGGAGACGUUAAUGAUGUUCUCAAGAGAUUUGAUGCAAGCAAGCAAGAGAACAAAGAACCUCUCCAGCUCUCAGCACACCGGUGGGUUCUCACUCGCACUUUCCUCUGUGCCUUCCAGCAGCUGCAGUCAGCUGGUCUGACUAGCGCCCUCUGUGAGAGGCAGGCACUAAAUGUUUCUGCAGAACACAUGGCAGAGACAGUGGUGCAAACCCCCCCUCCGAGGAACAGCUGCUCCGCCAUCAAUCACACUUACACCACCGACAUGGGAUGAGCAACUUAUGUUACUGUUUCCAGAACCAUUCGCUAUGAGGCUUCGACAAGGUCUUUCAUUUUCUUAAAAUAACAACAAUAAGUGAAUUUGAAUUUGUCGGCGCUACAAACAUGCAAAAUGUGAAUACAAUGUUCUUGCUUGCAUCUAAUGUAAAUUUAAGCUUUUGUCACAAACAGAUCCCACUGCUCACACUGAUAAUGCUUCUGUGUGCGUGUGUGUGCCCGCUGUCAACAAGUUAACCACAAAUCAAGCAGCCAACCAAACAACAGCAUAAAACAGAGUGCAGGAUGUGUGACUUGGGGUCAAUCGCCAAGGCAGUGUCGGUAGAUCGCCUGCCAAUGCAAAAAAAAUUCACUCAUGCACAGUCGACCGCGGGAGAGCUAACGGAAAGCUAAUGCUAAUUAGCGAUCUCUGCUUACUAACUCACACAUUUAAUUUCAUUCCAAAGCAACCCUGACUUAAUCCAACCCGUGCAAGUCAUCAAGUAAGCUAAUGACCGAGAAUGCGUGGGUUGAUUGUGACGGUUCCUCGAGGGGCUCGUUGUUUUAAAAAAAAAUAUUGAUUCGUUUUGCGCAUGCAACGGUAUGCAGCGCUGUUGUUCUGUUUGGGUCCUGCUACUACUCGUUCGUCCGGGGGGUGGGUGGAUUGCCAUUACUUGCUAAUACUUGGCAAUCUACCCACCAUUGGUCUAAACCAGGGAUCCCCCGACCAAUGGCCAUACACCACAGGCCAUAGAGAGUGGUUUAACGUGGAGAAAUCUAUUUAAUCAUGUGAAAAAUACCUCCUGUCUUUUCACGCACAACACAUUCCUGCUACUCAACACUCGACUGUGGUAUUUCAUUUGAACUGUAGCUUUGGUUUCUUUCUUUCUCUUUCUUCCUGUCAGUUCUUUCACUAUUACAUUAGUGAACAUACUCUCAUGUCUUGGUUACUGUCAGCUUGCACCUCGUGUUUUUAUUUUCUGGACAUUUAAGAGCAAAACCCCAGUCUCCCUAACCUUUUAUUGUUUCAAUAAAAGGACAUCAUCUUCUGUUUACAUAGCUUGAAUAAAGUGAGAGGUUUUUUGUCUUUAUUGGACGGAUAAAGAGUGAGGUAGCAGACAGGGGAGAAAGAGAGCCUUGCAACAAAAGAUCAGGUGGUUGGAGAAUUGGUUGGCAUGUGGAGUAACUAUUUGGCUACCAAAAACUCUGCCUUCCUCAAUUCUGAAAAGUUUUUAUGAUUUCUAUUGUAGGAUAUUAGAAACAAAUAUACGACCCGGUUCAUAAAAUUAAUGAAAAUGCAUAUAGUGUACACCAGAAUACAGCCAUGAUUCUGAAACUGUGUAAUCCAUAAAGUAAUGACAAUAUUGUAAAACUACUGUUAUUCUGCAACUGUAAUAGAAUAAUACCAAUGUAGUUAUGAUUGUAUUUGAUGUAAUGUAAUCAACUGGAAUGCAUGCAUGUAAUACUUGAACAACAACUGAUAUUGACUAAGGAUCAUUCGAAAUCCGAGUUACAUUGAACUCACCAGAAGACCACUCCCAGAGGUGUGGACACUGACUUUCACAUCUUUAAGCAUUGUUAUAAAUACCUGUAGGAACCAUUGUUCUCGAGUUCGCUGGUGGAGACGACAGACGGG